rnacentral:tRNA from 5 species
GGACGGUUAGCUCAGUGGUAGAGCAUUGCGCUUACAUCGCAAGGGUCGGAGGUUCAAAUCCUCCACCGUCCA